rnacentral:rRNA from 1 species
UUAUGUCUUUGGUUGGGGCGACCGCGGGGGAAAACAAAGCCCCCAUGUGGACUGGGGGCACUGCCCCCACAACCAAGAGUCACAACUCUAAGUACCAGAAUUUCUGACCAAAAAUGAUCCGGCAUCACGCCGAUCAACGGACCGAGUUACCCUAGGGAUAACAGCGCAAUCCUCUCCCAGAGUCCCUAUCGACGAGGGGGUUUACGACCUCGAUGUUGGAUCAGGACA